AGUGAACGCUGGCGGUAGGCCUAACACAUGCAAGUCGAACGGCAGCACAGUAAGAGCUUGCUCUUACGGGUGGCGAGUGGCGGACGGGUGAGGAAUACAUCGGAAUCUACUUUUUCGUGGGGGAUAACGUAGGGAAACUUACGCUAAUACCGCAUACGACCUACGGGUGAAAGCAGGGGAUCUUCGGACCUUGCGCGAUUGAAUGAGCCGAUGUCGGAUUAGCUAGUUGGCGGGGUAAAGGCCCACCAAGGCGACGAUCCGUAGCUGGUCUGAGAGGAUGAUCAGCCACACUGGAACUGAGACACGGUCCAGACUCCUACGGGAGGCAGCAGUGGGGAAUAUUGGACAAUGGGCGCAAGCCUGAUCCAGCCAUACCGCGUGGGUGAAGAAGGCCUUCGGGUUGUAAAGCCCUUUUGUUGGGAAAGAAAAGCAGCAGGUUAAUACCCCGCUGUUCUGACGGUACCCAAAGAAAAAGCACCGGCUAACUU
rnacentral:rRNA from 1 species